UGUAAACAUCCUACACUCUCAGCUGUGGAAAGUAAGAAAGCUGGGAGAAGGCUGUUUACUCU
ensembl:miRNA microRNA 30c-2